AUGUACCCACGUACACUCCGGUUCCUCCGCGCCGUCCGCACCCACCUGACGACUGCUCGCUACGUUUUGUUAGCC
rfam:Xanthomonas campestris pv. campestris str. ATCC 33913, complete genome.